GCAAAUCUGACAAAGAAGAAUCUUUUGAACUAUAUUCAUAAUGAUGAUGAAAAACACAAACAAAGACAAAGACAAAAACAUUGCACCUGGAGUAGCAUAUUAAGUCUUUCCUUAUGUUUGAGAUUUAGAAGUGCAUCUCUUAAGCUGCCUGAUCAUGACGAAUAACUCCAGCUUCUCCCCUGUCUGCUGUGUGAUCUUGUGAUGCCAUCUAACUCUCUCAAUCUUUCUUCUUCUGAAGACUUC
rnacentral:lncRNA from 1 species